AUCAGCUCUAAAGCUGUGCUACAUACACAGCAAAGUUCCUAGUGAUUUCAGACAGUGAUCAAAUUUGCACUCUAAAAAAGACAGCACAAGAAGUUUUCUGCAUAGGACAAUGAGAAAUCAAUGGAUGCAAGACCAGCUACAGGGACAUAAUUAUCAACAGUCCACAUGGAAAACAACAGGGCUGGAACCACAACAGGAGUUCAAAGAGCAGGAGGCAGGUGUCUGAAGACACUAUACACCACGAGCAGACGGCUGAAGGGCUGAAAAUAAUAGAGAUCUACCAACAGGCAGGAAUUAGAGAACACGCUAUUACUUGGAAGGAUCCCCCCAGCCCAACUGUUAAAGGCUUGCUCCCCUACCUACGACACUACUAGGAUGUGGUAGAUACCUUUGGGAGACAUAGCCUCGUGGAAGUCAGGUCAUGAAGAAGUUAUGUCAUGCGACUGUGCCCCUGAAGGGAUGGAUCCUGGGAUCCCAGUUCCUGAUUCUCUAUCUCCUAGACACCAUGAAACCAGCAGCUCCCACCCCCACGUGCUCCCAUAUGCUCCCACGUGCUCCCACCAUGAUGUGCUGCCCCACCAAAGGCACUGUGCCAACUGACCAAGGACUUAAACAGAGGCAAAACAAACUCUUCCUACUUAGAAGCUGAUUGUCCCAAUUAUUUUGCUACAAUGUAGAAGACUAACACUAACAUUUUCAGCCCAGACAGCUAAGUGGCCUGUUCCCUCAGUUUGCUAAAGUCUUUACCCAGGGGUUACCAUUCUCAGAAGAUGCUCCACAACCACCUUACCUAAAGGGGCCACCUGCACACAAGCACUCCAUGCCUUCUCCAGUUCUGUCCCUGCCAUUUUUCUCCACAACAUCUAC